rnacentral:misc_RNA from 1 species
CCGAGUUUACAACUCCCAAACCCCUGUGAACAUACCACUUGUUGCCUCGGCGGAUCAGCCCGCUCCCGGUAAAACGGGACGGCCCGCCAGAGGACCCCUAAACUCUGUUUCUAUAUGUAACUUCUGAGUAAAACCAUAAGUAAAUCA